CUACGGGUUGCACCAGUAGGGAAUUUUCGGCAAUGGGCGAAAGCCUGACCGAGCAAUGCCGCGUGAACGAUGAAGGUCUUCGGAUCGUAAAGUUCUGUUAUAGAGGAAGAACACUAGGUGUAGGAAAUGACAUUUAGCUGACGGUACUCUAUCAGAAAGCUCCGGCUAACUACGUGCCAGCAGCCGCGGUAAUACGUAGGGAGCGAGCGUUGUCCGGAAUUAUUGGGCGUAAAGCGUGCGUAGGCGGUUUACUAAGUCAAAUCUGAAAGCCCACAGCUUAACUGUGGAGGGUGAUUUGAAACUGGUAGACUUGAGUACGGCAGAGGUUAGUGGAAUUCAAUGUGUAGCGGUGGAAUGCGUAGAUAUAUUGAGGAACACCAGUGGCGAAGGCGGCUAACUGGACCGGAACUGACGCUGAGGCACGAAAGCGUGGGGAGCAAACAGGAUUAGAUACCCUCGUAGUC
rnacentral:rRNA from 1 species